rnacentral:sRNA from 1 species
AAGCGAGACAGCAACGCGCAGCGUUGACCCGAAGGGCGAGUCCGGAGGACGAGUCAUCCCGCACGACCCACCA